rnacentral:rRNA from 1 species
UACGCUGGCGGCACGCCUAACACAUGCAAGUCGAACGCAGUAGCAAUACUGAGUGGCAAACGGGUGAGUAUAAUGUGGGAAUCUGCCUUUUGGUUUGGAAUAACACGGGGAAACUUGUGCUAAUACCAAAUAAGCCUUUACAGGGAAAGUUUUAACGCCGAAAGAUGAGCCCGCACUUGAUUAGCUAGUUGGUAAGGUAAAAGCUUACCAAGGCAAUGAUCAAUAGCUGUUCUUAGAGGAAGACCAGCCACAUUGGGACUGAGACACGGCCCAGACUCCUACGGGAGGCAGCAGUGGGGAAUCUUGCACAAUGGGGGAAACCCUGAUGCAGCGAUGCCGCGUGAGUGAAGAAGGCCCUUGGGUUGUAAAACUCUUUCGUCGGGGAAGAAAAUGACUGUACCCGAAUAAGAAGGUCCGGCUA